UCUACUUCCCAAUUGGACCCCAUUUUCUCAUGUCUAUUUCUCAAAUGCACCUUAUCUCUCACUAUCUGAGUUAGAUCCAUAUACAAAAUAAUUCAAGAACUUAAAUUUUAUAUAUUUUAUAUUUACUUUUUUUUUGAGACAUGCAUUUUAUGUUUCUAAUUUUUAUCUAAAACUUUAUAUUUUGUAAUUAGUAUAUAUUUAUUUA
rnacentral:lncRNA from 1 species